GACGAACGCUGGCGGCGUGCUUAACACAUGCCAGUCGAACGGAAAGGCCCUGCUUUUGUGGGGUGCUCGAGUGGCGAACGGGUGAGUAACACGUGAGUAACCUGCCCUUGACUUUGGGAUAACUUCAGGAAACUUGGCGUAAUACCGGAUAGGAGCACCUGCUGCAUGGUGGGGGUUGGAAAGUUUCGGCGUUUGGGGCUGGACUCGCGGCUAAUCAGCUAGUUGGUGGGGUAGUGGCUUACCAAGGCAUUGCCGGGUAGCCGGCCUGAGAGGGUGACCGGCCACAUUGGGACAGAGAUGCGGCCCAGACUCCUACGGGAGGCAGCAGUGGGGAAUAGUGCGCACUGGGCGGAAGCCGGGUGCAGCAACGCCGUGUGGGGUAUAACGGCCUUCGGGUGGUAAAGCGCUUUCGCCUGUGACGAAGAGUGAGUGGCGGUAAUGUGUAAAGAAGCACCGGCUAACUACGUG
rnacentral:rRNA from 1 species